rnacentral:rRNA from 1 species
AACGAACGCUGGCGGCAUGCCUAACACAUGCCAGUCGAACGAGACCUUCGGGUCUUGUGGCGCAUGGGUGCGUAACGCGUGGGAACCUGCCCUUAGGUUCGGAAUAACUCCCCGAAAGGGGUGCUAAUACCGGACAAUGUCUUCGGACCAAAGAUUUAUCGCCUUUGGAUGGGCCCGCGUUGGAUUAGCUAGUUGGUAGGGUAAAAGCUUAACAAGGCGACGAUCCAUAGCUGGUCUGAGAGGAUGAUCAGCCACACUGGGACUGAGACACGGCCCAGACUCCUACGGGAGGCAGCAGUGGGGAAUAUUGGACAAUGGGCGGAGGCCUGAUGCAGCAAUGCCGCGUGAGUGAUGAAGGCCUUAGGGUUGUAAAGCUCUUUUACCCGUGAUGAUAAUGACGGUACCGGGAGAAUAAGCUCCGGCUAACUCCGUG